rnacentral:rRNA from 1 species
GAUGAACGCUGGCGGCGUGCCUAAUACAUGCAAGUCGAGCGAACAGACGAGGAGCUUGCUCCUCUGACGUUAGCGGCGGACGGGUGAGUAACACGUGGAUAACCUACCUAUAAGACUGGGAUAACUUCGGGAAACCGGAGCUAAUACCGGAUAAUAUAUUGAACCGCAUGGUUCAAUAGUGAAAGACGGUUUUGCUGUCACUUAUAGAUGGAUCCGCGCCGCAUUAGCUAGUUGGUAAGGUAACGGCUUACCAAGGCAACGAUGCGUAGCCGACCUGAGAGGGUGAUCGGCCAAACUGGAACUGAGACACGGUCCAGACUCCUACGGGAGGCAGCAGUAGGGAAUCUUCCGCAAUGGGCGAAAGCCUGACGGAGCAACGCCGCGUGAGUGAUGAAGGUCUUCGGUUCGUAAAACUCUGUUAUUAGGGAAGAACAAAUGUGUAAGUAACUAUGCACGUCUUGACGGUACCUAAUCAGAAAGCCACGGCUAACUACGUG